GGCUGGUCUGAAUGUAGUGAGUUGUCUCAGCUGAUUUUCACAGUCAAUUGCAGAUUGAACUCUGUUCUACUCGCUCCCUCCUUCUCACUACUGUACUUGACUAGUCUUUU
rnacentral:Y_RNA from 1 species